rnacentral:rRNA from 1 species
GACGAACGCUGGCGGCGUGCUUAACACAUGCAAGUCGUACGGUAAGGCCCUUUCGGGGGUCCACGAGUGGCGAACGGGUGAGUAACACGUGAGUAACCUGCCCACAACUUUGGGAUAACGCUAGGAAACUGGGGCUAAUACUGGAUAUGUGCCCCUGCUGCAUGGUGGGGGUUGGAAAGCUCCGGCGGUUGUGGAUGGACUCGCGGCCUAUCAGCUUGUUGGUGGGGUAGUGGCCUACCAAGGCGGCGACGGGUAGCCGGACUGUGAGGGUGACCGGCCACAUUGGGACUGAGAUACGGCCCAGACUCCUACGGGAGGCAGCAGUGGGGAAUAUUGCACAAUGGGCGCAAGCCUGAUGCAGCAACGCCGCGUGCGGGAUGACGGCCUUCGGGUUGUAAACCGCUUUCAGCAGGGACGAAGCUUUUUGUGACGGUACCUGCAGAAGAAGCACCGGCUAACUACGUG